CGCCUUUCUCCCUUGGGCUGUGGGUGGGAGGUUGGCGGGGGGGGGGCGGUCCCUGUUCUUCUCAGCUAAGGCUGGAGGCCAAGAUCAGCCCUUGAGGACUAUCAUCAGAACUGCCUUGUUUUCCUGCCUCAGACGUGA
rnacentral:snoRNA from 1 species